UAUUUCAUAAUUUUAAUGGAGCCAGAAAUUGGCUGCUUUAAUUUUUAUAAGUUGUUACAUAAUCACUGAUGUAAUAUGACCACCACAACAACAACAACAAAUGUUAAGGUUGAGGUCAACUCAAACUGGGUAUUGACUAUGAAAAAUCGUAUAUUGGCCAAGACUGAAAAGAUGCCAAAUAUGGGAUGUGUAAUUUGGACAGGCUGCCAAAAAUGGGACAAAAGAAAGGAUUAUAACAAAUAUGGAGUUAUUCAUGCAAAAAUACCUGGUCGUCCAAAACACCAAACUUUUAAAGUACACCGACUCCAGUAUAUGCUCCACCACAAUCACUUUGACAUACCUCGUAGCAUGGAUGUAUCGCAUUUAUGUCACCACUCCCUCUGUGUUAACAUUGAACACUUGAGCCUCGAACCACAUUAUGUUAACAACAACCGUCAACACUGUCUAAACAUUGUCCCGAAACACUGCAUCGGCCAUCCAGGUUAUAGAGACUGUUUUUUUUCUUCUUGGGGACAGGUACGUAUGAUCUGUUAGACAUGGUGGUACAACUUCGGAGUCAAGUACAUUCUUCUUGUAGGUUGUUCUUGCAGUACUGUUGUGUUUGUCGUCAUAUUGCUGGUAUCGAACCUUGCGGAGAUAAUUUCUUCGGGAUCUGUACCGAGUAGUUUUUUUCCUAGUAGCAUGAUACCGGUCUUCACGUUCCCGAGCUUUCAGUUCUGCGAGGGCGUGUAUUCUUCCAGUCAGUGGGGCUCCCACUAGUUGACAUCUUAUAACAGUAGACUUUAGAAUUCCUUUGUUGAGCAUGUGGGCUGCACUGUGUAUUCUUGCUUCAAAGUUGCGAUAGAAUGUCACUUGUUUCGGAUUUGUUCUAGUAUAAGCCCGGUUGACACUUUCUACUUUUUGAGUGUUUGUAUUGAGUUUUGUUUUAAGAAGUGCAGUUUUGCCGAGUCGAAGUUCUAGGCAUUUUCUUAACAAUUCUUUAUCGCCUUCUUUCAUUUUCAGAACUGAAUCUGCAGGUAAAUAGGCAGGUUUCCAUGCCUUGAUCCGCCUGCCCGAACACACAAAUGAAUGCCUUUGACACAGUGUUGAACAGUUGCCACUCACACAGGCCACGAUGGAAUCGAUGGUGUGUUUCGUUCUCAGCAAUGGUGUAGACCGCUCGAGUUGCAGGCUGGAGGGGUGUGCUCGAGUUCCCACCGAAAAGUCUGUUGUUGUAACGGCAGUCUCCCUCAACACUUAUCUUGUGAUCACUGGAAAUCUUCCAAGGCAUCGGGAACAGCUGGGUGAGGCCGAAGUAACCGCAUAUUGCCAGUCGUCCCCUGUGAAUCGGUGACCACAUAUGAAGAUGCACCUCGACUCGUUGACGGCUUAGCCACUGCAUCAGUCUUCCCUGGACAGCCUGGUACAGGCCAAAUCAGACCAACACAGUGACACUCCUCAAAGAGUUAUCCCCCCUUGACCAGCCGUCAACAUAUAACCAAGUGACUUUCGUGAAGUGCCAAAUGUUAGUAUUCAUGUUGGAGCAAUAAAAUUUAUAAACCGAAAAA
rnacentral:lncRNA from 1 species